rnacentral:tRNA from 6 species
CAAAUUAAAACUAAAAUUUAGUAUUUUAUUUACAAUAAAAUUUUAAUUGUGAAAAUCAAUUUAAUUUGA